rnacentral:lncRNA from 1 species
CAUUUUAUGUUUAACCAUAAAAUAAUUUUUAUAUAUUAUUAAUGUGUUGGUGUGUGAGUGUGUUUUCUUGAACGUGUGUUAGUGUGUGUUUGCCGGAGGUGGCGGCGGGUGGUGGCGGAGGAGAUUUGGAGGUGGUGGACGAAAGAAGUAUGGAUAUCUAAUGAACGAAAGAAGUAUGGAUUUUUUAUAGUGGUUUUCAAUAAUUAUGUACAGAUUUUUGUAGUGGUUUUCAAUAUUUUACAUAUACCAUUAUAAAAAUUUGUACAAAAAUUAUAGUGG